GGGGCUGUUAUGUUUCGACAGAAUAGUUGUACGUAUGAGCGCAGGUAGUAGGGAUACUAUAAAUCCAAAAAUAAAAUAAUCGGAAACGAUUACAAUUUUGCACCUGCUUUUGCCUAGUUUAAGGUAGCAGAUGGUUCCACCUUUUCUUUGUCUACGAGAAAAGAUAUGGGACACAUAAAAGUAGACUAUAUUAUUUAUUUGUCUAGGAUAAAUAAUGAAUAUUAACUAGACUUAGAAAAAUAUAGGAAUGUUGGCUCUCCAUAAUAUUUUUUGAAAUAAUAAACCAACUAAACUUGUACACGCUUGUAUGGUUAAUAUUUUGGACACGAGCUCGAUACUCGUCAGCUCCACCA
rnacentral:tmRNA from 1 species